UGGUCAUUAGCUUAGUGGUGAAAGCAUCCGUCUGAUACGCGGAAGAUGGUGGGUUCAAUUCCCACAUGACCAA
rnacentral:tRNA from 1 species